CUCAUGUGAGGGCACGUGUACAUGACAAGACGACCUCCAAAUUCAUCAGAACGCAGGCGGCAAUGGAGCAGAAAACGGUUGGUCGGCUUAAUAGCUAUUGGGAAACAAGGGCUGAUCAUGAGGGAUGUUCCCGAAAGACGCAUCGGAUGUCCGUGGCAAGACCAUUCAAGAUGCCGGUGACUAGCUUCCCCGCUGCCUAGUCCGGCGGCAUCACUCUCUCGAUUCUCUGGUUGUGUUGUUUGAAGACACAGCCAAGCAGUGGCCUCUAUCUGACCAGGUUCGGAUGGGAUUACUCCCUCCUCCUUUGCUUGUUCCCUGAAUUCCUGCUGAUGAUGCUGUGUCAGGAUGCUCGGAUGUUUCGUUUAACUCAUGAGGCCAAAGUUUAUUCGUAUCUCAAUGCAGUCCCUAUAAACAAAACAAGUUUGUGGAGCCAUUGCAGUUCUCAAGCUGUUCAUUACAUCUAAAUCAUCUUGUUUUCCUCAUUUGGAAACCCAAAGCAUGUGAGCAUCGGAUUAGCUUCAUGCUUUGCUGGCCACUGUUCAGGUAAUCUCGCGAGUAAACGACUUCUUCAAAAUUCUGCUGGAUUAUUUGUUUGGUGAAGUGGCCAUUGCUAAUGCAUUGCAGUCCUGGGCAUCAAGGUGCCUUUUAGCUGCUACAAUUCCAGGGCUUAACGUCGUACUUGUGCUUGUUGUGGGAUCUGGCAUUUGGAAACUUUAGGCGACAGUGAAGUCUGUGAGAAGAUCUGCGGACCACAGCAUCAUAACUCGAGUUAUUUUGUAUCUGCGUUACAUUGACAAAAGAAGUAAACUCAGAUUGCAUUGUUUACAUUACCACAAUCAGAAUAUAUGUUACUUACAUCAGUUAUUUGAUAAGUGAUCUACUCUGUCAAGAGGUUCAAUCUAAUGGUUUCUUCAGAUUUUCGUUGUUGAUCAGUUGUCUGUCUCUUUUUCCAUUUUGUUUCCGCAAAGCUUUGCUUUAACUUCUGAAACUGAAAUCAUCUUCAUCUCUGUUUCAUAGAAAUUCUUGAGGGCCACUAUUCUAUGCUUCCACAAUUAGGUUCGCUUGUGCAUAUAACUGGACGACUUUGCCAAGUGCAAUUGCAGUAAUAUGCAAUGUCUGCGCUGGAGAUGGCGUAGUAAUCUUAACUCCCAUUUUUUCUUGUGUUGCGCCGGCAUGUUCGAUAAUGUACUGCAAAAUAAAAGGGAAGAUGUACUGAGGACUUGUUCAAUGUCAUGGGAUGUGACCCUUGCCUACUUGAUAAAUACUUUUAGAGAGGUUAAUGCCAAAUUUGAUAUUGCAUGAAGGUAUCUCCUUCAUUCAAUAGAUGAUAUUUUCCUUGGUCAACGCUUAGAUGAUACAUAGAUAUCAAGUGUGUGACAUGGUAUGCCUUUUCUUUUAGUGGAAUGUUGAUUGGUCUCCUUUGCCCAAACAUCCAAAAAUGGAAAAAGGGCAAUCUUAUGCUAAGACACCUGUUUUGCUUGUUUUCAUGAUGGAAGGCAGUUUGGGCCAUCAUAAAAUUCCUUACAACAUUAAUAAAUUGUCAGCUGGUAGCAUUGCAAUGGUCUCUGCUGGGUUUUUAGCAUACCUCUGGUUUAUGUCUGAUUUUUCUUCAUUUGGUUAAAACCAGGGAAGUUGGGACAUGGUUUCAGGUUUCUUGAUGGUCUCUCUUGCAUCUGCACUGAUGGAAUAACAUCCUCUGAGUUCUGAGCUUGAUGACAGUCUCACAGUUCCCUUAACUUCUAUAUUGGCGGAGCCUUGCUUUUUAGGUCAGAGAUUGGGAAUGCGUCUUGGCUAAGGUGACAUUCAUUAUAGUAGGUAACGCGAGUAUAUUACACAAAGUGCUAUAAAAUUUGCAGCAUUUGAGUAUUAUUUACCCAGAAAAUUUACUCUCGCGCCGUGUCAUAGUUUGCACUACUAUUGUGUACUUAAGUUAUUCUUUUAUUCUAAAUUAGUACAGCAUUGUGUUGUGGGAAAUUCAAUUUUUCUGUAGAUAGAGGUUUCACAUCACAUACUUCCAUUCCAAGAGAUAGGAAUGUGCUGGUGGACCUGUCAACACUGCUGCGUGUGUUUUCCUCAGAAAUUUAGAUUGAAUUUAGUUUCCCCAUUAACUUGAGAAUCGCUAAAAUAAAAUUGUGAUCGAGGACGCGAUAAAAGAUGAUAGGCGCGGGACUGCCCGACAAUCUAGCCUGAAAGGAGUAGCAUCAGUAUUUCAUAUCAGCUGCUUUAGAGAUUUUCUUGCUAGCUACUUCAGAGAGUUCUUCUUUGAGCUAUCUCCAGCUUUGCAUAUUUUACAGCACAUCAGGUAUAGGGAGUUGUUCCCCCGGAGAAGACUGCUUUGGCAACAGGAAAUGAAUUGAAAGCUAGAGAACUGUAAGAGGAUAUAGGAGUUCUUAUCUUCAGGAAACUGUGAGGUAGUAGCAAGAAUUGCUAUGCUUAAUUGUUGUUGUAGUAGCAAGAAUUGCUUUGCUUAAUUGUUGUUGGACUCUCUCCCUCAUCAAUGCAAAACAAGCUUGCACAGAGUACAUAAUUUACACUAGCAAGAAGCCGUGUGAAUUUUACCUACGCUUUCUGUCAAGCCAAUGUGAUAGUUUUAACAGAGUUAGUAGCUCUAUAAGUAAAGUAAACCGACACACAUACAGAUAACAUCUAAGAGAAGCUGUAGCACCAUAUCUCCAGCGAAAGAAAGAGCAUGCUGCUUCUGCAGAAGGUAGCAUGUCCUCUGCAGCAGGGAAGCAACGAUUGGUCCGCAUCCAUCCUGUUAUACUACUGACUACUUCGAGAGUAAAGGGGAGGGAGGGAGCUCUGGAUGGUGGAGUCAGUGUAUCCUGAUUCUGAAUUCCUUGCACUCUUGAGACGUGGAAGAACGAUGAUGAAUAUGAGGAGUAGGGAGAAGACGAGGAGGAGCAUGAGCAUCAUGAGCUCUCCAUGAAGGGCAUAUCGACUGUCGGGCGAGAAGCGAAGCUCAUCUUGCAGCCCCGGUGGUCGUGUGUCGGGAGGCAUGGCCGGCGAGGUCCCGGGGACACCGUGAGAGGAGAGGAAGGAGGUGGCCAUGUCAGUCUCACUCGCUCUUGCUUCGCAGUUUCUUUCCUUUCCUUUUCAAUGCAUGUUGACUCUAACACACACACGACAAAACUUGGAGAGCCUUGUUUUCACAUCUCACCCGAGCCCCAUGGGACGGAGCGCGGGGAUUUAAAGUCCUGCAAGUAAAGCGUGGGCCUGUUGGGAGGGAUGGACACUGACACAAGGCUCUUUCGUUGCUUUCCCCUGUGUCUUUUGUCCCUUAAUAUCACAAACUUCAACACAUUUCUUGC